rnacentral:lncRNA from 1 species
AAGAUCAUGGCGCUGAGGAUGGAGCUGGUGAGUGUAGGUGCUACAGGCCACGGGGACCGGGACGUUUGUAGGGGCAGGGGCAGGAUCCCGGAGUUGGGCUGGAGAAGAGGGUCCUUCCCUGAUCAAUCCAUCCGGAGUUGAAAGCAGAGUGAAGUGACGUCUCAUUAUUUGGUUCCCAAGGGUGAAUGAAGGGUUGAUAGGUCCUGAGAACUGGGAGUAAGAGGCACAGCUCUUGGAAGUUUUCCCUGCCCAAUAAUCGGGAGGAGAGAGGCGAGGAGAGUAGCACCGGGAAAAAAAAAAAC